UACGUAGGGCGCGAGCGUUGUCCGGAAUUAUUGGGCGUAAAGAGCUCGUAGGCGGCCUGUUGCGUCCGCUGUGAAAUCCCAGGGCUCAACCCUGGGCGUGCAGUGGAUACGGGCAGGCUGGAGGCAGGCAGGGGAGAACGGAAUUCCUGGUGUAGCGGUGAAAUGCGCAGAUAUCAGGAAGAACACCCGUGGCGAAGGCGGCUCUCUGGAACGCAACUGACGCUGAGACGCGAAAGCGUGGGGAGCAAACAGG
rnacentral:rRNA from 1 species